CACUGUCCAAGCUGAGGAUGAGAAAUAGAUUCUUGGAAGGGCUGAAGCAAGCAGAAGCAUUGCAUGGCAGAAGCAGAAGAUACAUACGGUGGAAAAAAGGAAGCAACAAGAAACACAAACCAUGCUGAAAGACAGGCAAGGACAAGCUACAGCUGCAUUGUGUCUUGGCAGCCUAUGAAGAUGCAAGACUACCCAAACACCUACUCCUGACGAGGUCAUCCAAGUAGGACAUCUGCAUAUACUGGGUGCUUUCCAGAUUGCACACUACCACAGUGUCACAUUUCCCUUAAGUGUCCUUCCGUACUGCCUGUGUCUUGACAUCACAGUCCCUGCGCUGUCAGCAAGGUGCCGUUCACAUUUCCGAUGACUUCUUUUGUGUUUUAUUGCUGUGUUACAGCCGUCUAAUGGCGCAGCGGGGAAAUGCUUGACUAAAAAGCAGAAGGUUGCUGGUUUGAAUCCCCACUGGUACUAUACCAGGCAGCAGUGAUACAGGAAGAAGCUGAAAGGCAUCAUCUCAUGCUGUGUGGGAGGAGGCAAUGGUAAACCCCUCCUGUAUUCUACCAAAAUAAAACCACAGGGCUCUGUAGGCGCCAGGAGUCGAAUCGACUUGACGCCACACUUUACCUUAGGAGGCAAUGGAUUUCAACUGCAGUUUUAAAUUGGCACCAUAAAAAAUCGCAGUUUACAACGCUUUUUGCAGUGUAAAGCUUGCUAUCUGGAGAGCUGUUAGUUUCCUGUUCCCUAGGCUGUUCACUAUGGGCUGAUGUGCAUGGCCCAUUUGGAGACUGGGCUGAAUUCUUUCCGUCAGCUCAGUUUAAAUUUAGGCAUGAUGAACCAUUCAUCAACAAAGUUUGCCAGAAGCCAAAACCACUGGUGAACCUGUGAUAUUUUACAUCGUUUUCACCAUGGAUGUGCUGAUGAUCAGGACAGAUGGUAAACCACUAAACCAGGCCUGACAUUAAAUCAGUCCACAGCAUAAGCAUUCAAACAGAGCAGACUGAGAAAAAGUCAACUUAAUCUGGAAAUGAGGCCCCAACAAAUGGGUCCUGUGAAUUGGUUUUCAAUACUAAUGGUGUCACAAACGACUUUUUUUUGGUCUCUCUUACUAAAUAAAGAUUAGGAAGUUCA